rnacentral:rRNA from 1 species
UGGAAGUAAAAGUCGUAACAAGGUUUCCGUAGGUGAACCUGCGGAAGGAUCAUUAACCGUUACAAACAGUGUGUGAUGCGGCCGCCGAGGUGAAUAGCCUCUGGUUGGUAUGGGGUUCGCCCCUUCACGCUCACGCGUCUGCCAUCCUUACUUUACGAGCACCUUCUGUUCUCCCUCGGCAAGGGCCUCGCCCUGCCGUUGGAACUACAAAACUCUUUUUUUGCAUCUAGCAUUACCUGUUCCGACAAAAACAAUCGUUUACAACUUUCAACAAUGGAUCUCUUGGCUCUGGCAUCGAUGAAGAACGCAGCGAAAUGCGAUAAGUAGUGUGAAUUGCAGAAUUCAGUGAAUCAUCGAAUCUUUGAACGCACAUUGCGCCCCUCGGUAUUCCGUGGGGCAUGCCUGUUCGAGCGUCAUCUACACCCUCAAGCUCUGCUUGGUGUUGGGCGUCUGUCCCGCCUCCGCGCGUGGACUCGCCCCAAAUACAUUGGCAGCGGUCUUUGCCUCCUCUCGCGCAGCACAUUGCGCUUCUCGAGGUGUCGCGGACACGCGUCCAGUAAGCAACAUUUACCGUCUUUGACCUCGGAUCAGGUAGGGAUACCCGCUGAACUUAAGCAUAUCAAUAAGCGGAGGA